rnacentral:rRNA from 1 species
UUGGAGUCUUUGUGGCGGCGUGUGUCUAAGUCCCUUGGAACAGGGCGCCAUUGAGGGUGAGAGCCCCGUGCGGCACGCGUCUAAGCUUUAAGACCCUUCUGACGAGUCGAGUUGUUUGGGAAUGCAGCUCUAAGUGGGUGGUAAAUUCCAUCUAAGGCUAAAUACUGGCGAGAGACCGAUAGCGAACAAGUACUGUGAAGGAAAGAUGAAAAGCACUUUGAAAAGAGAGUGAAACAGCACGUGAAAUUGUUGAAAGGGAAGGGUAUUGGGCUCGACAUGGGGACUGCGCACCGUUGCUUCUUGUAGGCGGCGCUCUGUGCGGUUUCUGGGCCAGCAUCAGUUUUUGCCGCGGGAGAAUGGGGGGAGGAACGUGGCUCUUCGGAGUGUUAUAGCCUCUCUCAGAUGCCGCGAGCGGGGACUGAGGUCUGCGAUUCGUUCAAGGAUGCUGGCACAACGGCGCAAUACCGCCCGUCUUG